UAGCUAGUUGGUGAGGUAAAGGCUUACCAAGGCGACGAUCUGUAGCGGGUCUGAGAGGAUGAUCCGCCACACUGGAACUGAGACACGGUCCAGACUCCUACGGGAGGCAGCAGUGGGGAAUUUUGGACAAUGGGGGCAACCCUGAUCCAGCCAUGCCGCGUGAGUGAAGAAGGCCUUCGGGUUAUAAAGCUCUUUCGGCCGGGAAGAAAUCGCAUGGGCCAAUACCCUGUGUGGAUGACGGUACCGGAAUAAGAAGCACCGGCUAACUACGUGCCAGCAGCCGCGGUAAUACGUAGGGUGCGAGCGUUAAUCGGAAUUACUGGGCGUAAAGCGUGCGCAGGCGGUUUUGUAAGACAGGCGUGAAAUCCCCGGGCUUAACCUGGGAACUGCGUUUGUGACUGCAAGGCUAGAGUACGGCAGAGGGGGGUGGAAUUCCACGUGUAGCAGUGAAAUGCGUAGAGAUGUGGAGGAACACCAAUGGCGAAGGCAGCCCCCUGGGUCGAUACUGACGCUCAUGCACGAAAGCGUGGGUAGCAAACAGGAUUAGAUACCCUGGUAGUCCACGCCCUAAACUAUGUCAACUAGGUGUUGGGUGGGUAAAACCAUUUAGUACCGUAGCUAACGCGUGAAGUUGACCGCCUGGGGAGUACGGCCGCAAGGUUAAAACUCAAAGGAAUUGACGGGGACCCGCACAAGCGGUGGAUGAUGUGGAUUAAUUCGAUGCAACGCGAAAAACCUUACCUACCCUUGACAUGCCAGGAACUUGCCAGAGAUGGCUUGGUGCCCGAAAGGGAGCCUGGACACAGGUGCUGCAUGGCUGUCGUCAGCUCGUGUCGUGAGAUGUUGGGUUAAGUCCCGCAUCGAGCGCAACCCUUGUCGUUAAUUGCCAUCAUUUAGUUGGGCACUUUAACGAGACUGCCGGUGACAAACCGGAGGAAGGUGGGGAUGACGUCAAGUCCUCAUGGCCCUUAUGGGUAGGGCUUCACACGUCAUACAAUGGUCGGUACAAAGGGUUGCCAAGCCGCGAGGCGGAGCCAAUCCCAGAAAGCCGAUCGUAGUCCGGAUUGCAGGCUGCAACUCGCCUGCAUGAAGUCGGAAUCGCUAGUAAUCGUGGAUCAGCAUGUCACGGUGAAUACGUUCCCGGGUCUUGUACACACCGCCCGUCACACCAUGGGAGCGGGUUCCGCCAGAAGUAGGUAGCCUAACCGCAAGGGGGGCGCUUACCACGGCGGGGUUCGUGACUGGGGUGAAGUCGUAACAAGGUAGCCGUAGGGGAACCUGCGGCUG
rnacentral:rRNA from 1 species